rnacentral:sRNA from 1 species
ACCUAUGCAAUCGGGAUUGUUAAGACACGGACAUACAGACUUGUACCCAGUAUACACUGGUGUAAAUAUUUAGUUCUGUACGUGUACAUAUAUACUGUAUCUAUUAUAUUUUGUGUGCAAUCUGCUUUUGUAGCAUUUACUAUCACAAAAUAGUUCACUGUUGAAGAGAUUUUUUCCUCAUAUCUUAUUUAUUUCUAGGAGGUGUACAUAAUUUUGGAAUCCUUAUUGUCAAUAUUCUGUCAUACUCAAUUAAUAACAUGUACAGUAGCCAAGGAGCAAAUUCUGAAAGGUUAUGGCUCUAGAGAUCAAGAUAACGAGGAGGAGGCCUGAUGUAAGUGUAUAUAUAGAGAUGUUUGCUGUAGAAACAUUUAAUGCCAUUGAAAAUUGCCCUGCGUAUAGGCAGCAUAUUUUGUAUCACCAAAAUUAAAUUGUGUCUAAAGAACCCACGAGGAAAAGGGAAAUCUUACCAAUGAUUGUACUGGAGAGGAAUGCAUUUGCUUAGAACAGGAUGGUUCUUCUAGAUGGUGUUUAGUGGAGGUGGCAAAAUAGAUCAUUAAUAUUAUUUAAGAAGAUUUUAGAAGGGUAUUAUUAUGGCUGAAUCUGAAGAAUAAAAUUCUUGACCGUAUAUUUAUGAAUUGACUUUGAGAGUAUCAAAUACUCUUCUUCUUUUUUUUCCUCUUUGCUGGAUUUCUGUACAUAUUUGUCCGGCUUUUGUACAUUUUGAAUGACAAUAACAUUGUAAUACUAUCUGUAGAAUUGUGCUUUUACCAACAUUUCAUCUGAUUGUACAGCUGUCAUGUUUGUGUACUAUAUUUUUUUGUUUGGACUUUUUUUAUCAUCAUGUGAUGUCUACGCAAGAGGUUGUUCUAUGUAUCUAUUACUGUCUUCUUCCAAAAUUUUGAAUUGUUAUUAUUUUUUUCUAUUUUAGAUAUACUAAAAAAAAAUUACCUUCUUUGAGAUGAAUUGAAUUUUAAAUAUGAAAAAUUUUUAAAAAUGGAAUUCUACUUUUUUGUGUGUGAAUUAUUUAUAGAUGUUUUACUUUUGUAAUUGGGGAAAAUAAGCAGAUUUUUUAGUGGGUUUUGGUAUUUAGAUUUUAGGUAAUUUACAUAGUAUAAAUUUUUAGACUCAAUUUAUAUUACUAUGAAAUUUUCAUUGAUUGAAAAGAAUGUAGGGAAAAAUAGAAAGAUUCUGUUUUGAUCUCUGUUGUUUGGAGUGAUCUCCCUUGAAUGCUUUUAUCCUUUUUGUUUCUUUUGCACGUGAACAAACAAUUAUCUUUUAAAUAUUCAAUCUAGAUUUUUACAUGUUAUCAUGAACUUCUACAAAUUCAUCAUAUUUUGGAUAUUUCAUUUUACACCAUUCUUUAGCAUUAUUAUACUUGUUGUUUCUGUUCAAUACCCUUAUCACUUACAAUUUUAGGAAUAAAAUUGUAGUUUAUGUGACAGUAAACAUCAUUGUUGCUUUAUACUUUAAAAAUGAAUCUACUUGAUCUAAAGUGUCAAGUUAAAAUAAAAAUUACUUG